rnacentral:rRNA from 1 species
CCUACGGGCGGCAGCAGUGGGGAAUAUUGCACAAUGGGGGAAACCCUGAUGCAGCGACGCCGCAUGAGUGAAGAAGUAAUUCGUUAUGUAAACUUCUAUCAGCAGGGAAGAAAAUGACGGUACCUGACUAAGAAGCCCCGGCUAAAUACGUGCCAGCAGCCGCGGUGAUACGUCGGGGGCAAGCGUUAUCCGGAUUUACGGGGUGUAAAGGGAGCGUAGGCGGUUUAGCAAGUCAGAAGUGAAAGCCCAGGGCUCAACUCUGGGACUGCUUUUGAAACUGUUGAACUAGAUUGCAGGAGAGGUAAGUGGAAUUCCUAGUGUAGCGGUGAAAUGCGUAGAUAUUAGGAGGAACACCAGUGGCGAAGGCGGCUUACUGGACUGUAAAUGACGCUGAGGCUCGAAAGCGUGGGGAGCAAACAGGAUUAGAUACCCGAGUAGUC